CCUACGGGUGGCAGCAGUGGGGAAUAUUGCACAAUGGGCGAAACCCUGAUGCAGCGACGCCGCGUGAGUGAAGAAGUAAUUCGUUACGUAAAGCUCUAUCAUCAGGGAAGAAACCCUGACCUUACGGUCAGCCCACUGUACCUGAGUCAGACGCCCCGGCUAACUACGUUCCAGCCGCCGCGGUGAUACGUAGGGGGCCAGCGUUAUCCGGUUUUACUGGGUGUAAAGGGAGCCUAGACGGUGGGACAAGUGCGGAGGGAAAUUCCGCAGCUUAACUGCGGAACUGCUUUGGAAACUGGCGAACUGGAGUGCGGGAGGGGUGAGAGGAAUUCCUAGGGUAGCGGUGAAAUGCGUAGAUAUUAGGAGGAACACCGGUGGCGAAGGCGGCUUACUGGACCGUAACUGACGUUGAGGCUCGAAAGCGUGGGGAGCAAACAGGAUUAGAUACCCCGGUAGUC
rnacentral:rRNA from 1 species